GACGAACGCUGGCGGCGUGCCUAAUACAUGCAAGUCGAGCGAAGUUUUUCUGGUGCUUGCACCGGAAAAACUUAGCGGCGAACGGGUGAGUAACACGUAAAGAACCUGCCUCAUAGACUGGGACAACUAUUGGAAACGAUAGCUAAUACCGGAUAAUAGCAUUAACUGCAUGGUUGAUGUUUAAAAGUUGGUUUUGCUAACACUAUGAGAUGGCUUUGCGGUGCAUUAGCUAGUUGGUGGGGUAAAGGCCUACUAAGGCGACGAUGCAUAGCCGACCUGAGAGGGUGAUCGGCCACACUGGGACUGAGACACGGCCCAGACUCCUACGGGAGGCAGCAGUAGGGAAUCUUCCGCAAUGGGCGAAAGCCUGACGGAGCAACGCCGCGUGAGUGAAGAAGGAUUUCGGUUCGUAAAGCUCUGUUGUUAGGGAAGAAUGAUUGUGUAGUAACUAUACACAGUAGAGACGGUACCUAACCAGAAAGCCACGGCUAACUACGUG
rnacentral:rRNA from 1 species